rnacentral:rRNA from 1 species
UACGAAGGGGGGCUAGCGUUGCUCGGAAUCACUGGGCGUAAAGCGCACGUAGGCGGCUUUUUUAAGUCAGGGGUGAAAUCCUGGAGCUCAACUCCAGAACUGCCUUUGAUACUGGGGAAGCUCGAGUCCGGGAGAGGUGAGUGGAACUCCGAGUGUAGAGGUGAAAUUCGUAGAUAUUCGGAAGAACACCAGUGGCGAAGGCGGCUCACUGGCCCGGUACUGACGCUGAGGUGCGAAAGCGUGGG